UAAAUAGAGCUAAUUUUCUAUUACUCAGUAUUUGACUAUGAUUAUUAUUGAUAUUAAAUAAAAUUGUUGAGAAUUAAUUUUCUUUUCAAAUAUUGAUUCUUGAUUUCUUGAUUCUUCCUCUUUGUUCUACAUCAAAAUGACCCCUGCAAACUUUAUUGCAUUCUAGUUUUACUCCCUAUCUAUUAAUUUACUAUUCAUCAUACCCACUGUACCACAGUUCUGAAAUAAAAAUUCACCCUCAAAUUUAAGGUAAUUUGAAAGGAAAAAAAAAAUUAAUAACCAUAACCCAUCCACCUUUUUUUUUUUUAAUUUAGUUCCAAUUCUCACAUUUCAAUUGACUUUCACCUAUAUCCCUUUUUAACAUUUUAUCUUUGACACCCCCAAGUGCCAAGCUCUAGUUCCACCCUUGCAUCUAAACCACAAAUCAAUACAAAGUUUGUCUCUCCACUAAUAGAAUGGCACAAAUGCCACCAAAAAUAUAGAUUCAAAAUCAUCACAUAAAUGCCAAAGGAAAAAAAGAAACAACUUAAACAAGAUAAUUUCAGAUUAUAUCAUUAAGUGCAAGAAAUCAUUACAUCUUGCAUAAAUUUCUU
rnacentral:misc_RNA from 1 species